CGGGGUGUGGCGCAGCUUGGUAGCGCAUUGCGUUUGGGACGCAAGGGUCGCAGGUUCAAAUCCUGUCACCCCGAC
rnacentral:tRNA from 1 species